rnacentral:rRNA from 1 species
UACGGGGGGGGCAAGCGUUGUUCGGAAUUACUGGGCGUAAAGGGCUCGUAGGCGGCCAACUAAGUCAGACGUGAAAUCCCUCGGCUUAACCGGGGAACUGCGUCUGAUACUGGGUGGCUUGAGUGCAGGAGAGGAACGCGGAAUUCCAGGUGUAGCGGUGAAAUGCGUAGAUAUCUGGAGGAACACCGGUGGCGAAGGCGGCGUUCUGGACUGCAACUGACACUGAGAGACGAAAGCCAGGGGAGCAAACGGG